rnacentral:rRNA from 1 species
GACGAACGCUGGCGGCGUGCUUAACACAUGCUAGUCGAACGGAAAGGCCCUGCUUUUGUGGGGUGCUCGAGUGGCGAACGGGUGAGUAACACGUGAGUAACCUGCCCUUGACUUUGGGAUAACUUCAGGAAACUGGGGCUAAUACCGGAUAGGAGCUCCUGCUGCAUGGUGGGGGUUGGAAAGUUUCGGCGGUUGGGGAUGGACUCGCGGCUUAUCAGCUUGUUGGUGGGGUAGUGGCUUACCAAGGCUUUGACGGGUAGCCGGCCUGAGAGGGUGACCGGCCACAUUGGGACUGAGAUACGGCCCAGACUCCUACGGGAGGCAGCAGUGGGGAAUAUUGCACAAUGGGCGGAAGCCUGAUGCAGCAACGCCGCGUGCGGGAUGACGGCCUUCGGGUUGUAAACCGCUUUCGCCUGUGACGAAGCGUGAGUGACGGUAAUGGGUAAAGAAGCACCGGCUAACCACGUGCCAGCAGCCGCGGUGAUACGUAGGGUGCGAGCGUUGUCCGGAUUUAUUGGGCGUAAAGGGCUCGUAGGUGGUUGAUCGCGUCGGAAGUGUAAUCUUGGGGCUUAACCCUGAGCGUGCUUUCGAUGCGGGUUGACUUGAGGAAGGUAGGGGAGAAUGGAAUUCCUGGUGGAGCGGUGGAAUGCGCAGAUAUCAGGAGGAACACCAGUGGCGAAGGCGGUUCUCUGGGCCUUUCCUGACGCUGAGGAGCGAAAGCGUGGGGAGCGAACAGGCUUAGAUACCCUGGUAGUCCACGCUGUAAACGGUGGGUACUAGGUGUGGGGUCCAUUCCACGGGUUCCGUGCCGUAGCUAACGCUUUAAGUACCCCGCCUGGGGAGUACGGCCGCAAGGCUAAAACUCAAAGGAAUUGACGGGGCCCCGCACAAGCGGCGGAGCAUGCGGAUUAAUUCGAUGCAACGCGUAGAACCUUACCUGGGUUUGACAUGGAUCGGGAGUGCUCAGAGAUGGGUGUGCCUCUUUUGGGGUCGGUUCACAGGUGGUGCAUGCCUGUCGUCAGCUCGUGUCGUGAGAUGUUGGGUUAAGUCCCGCAACGAGCGCAACCCUUGUUCACUGUUGCCAGCACGUUAUGGUGGGGACUCAGUGGAGACCGCCGGGGUCAACUCGGAGGAAGGUGGGGAUGACGUCAAGUCAUCAUGCCCCUUAUGUCCAGGGCUUCACGCAUGCUACAAUGGCUGGUACAGAGAGUGGCGAGCCUGUGAGGGUGAGCGAAUCUCGGAAAGCCGGUCUCAGCUCGGAUUGGGGUCUGCAACUCGACCUCAUGAAGUCGGAGUCGCUAGUAAUCGCAGAUCAGCAACGCUGCGGUGAAUACGUUCCCGGGGCU